AGGCGUGGUGGCGGGCGCCUGUGAUCCCAGCUACUCAGGAGGCUGAGACGGGAGAAUCGCUUGAACCCAGGAGGCAGAGGUUGCAGUGAGC
rnacentral:miRNA from 1 species